rnacentral:rRNA from 1 species
GAUGAACGCUGGCGGCGUGCUUAACACAUGCAAGUCGAACGGAAAGGCCCAAGCUUGCUUGGGUACUCGAGUGGCGAACGGGUGAGUAACACGUGGGUGAUCUGCCCUGCACUUCGGGAUAAGCCUGGGAAACUGGGUCUAAUACCGGAUAGGACGAUGGUUUGGAUGCCAUUGUGGAAAGUUUUUUCGGUGUGGGAUGAGCUCGCGGCCUAUCAGCUUGUUGGUGGGGUAAUGGCCCACCAAGGCGUCGACGGGUAGCCGGCCUGAGAGGGUGUACGGCCACAUUGGGACGGAGAUACGGCCCAGACUCCUACGGGAGGCAGCAGUGGGGAAUAUUGCACAAUGGGCGCAAGCCUGAUGCAGCGACGCCGCGUGGGGGAUGACGGCCUUCGGGUUGUAAACUCCUUUCGCUAGGGACGAAGCGUUUUUGUGACGGUACCUGGAGAAGAAGCACCGGCUAACUACGUG